rnacentral:rRNA from 1 species
AGUGAACGCUGGCGGUAGGCCUAACACAUGCAAGUCGAACGGCAGCACAGUAAGGGCUUGCUCUUACGGGUGGCGAGUGGCGGACGGGUGAGGAAUACAUCGGAAUCUACUUUUUCGUGGGGGAUAACGUAGGGAAACUUACGCUAAUACCGCAUACGACCUACGGGUGAAAGCAGGGGAUCUUCGGACCUUGCGCGAUUGAAUGAGCCGAUGUCGGAUUAGCUAGUUGGCGGGGUAAAGGCCCACCAAGGCGACGAUCCGUAGCUGGUCUGAGAGGAUGAUCAGCCACACUGGAACUGAGACACGGUCCAGACUCCUACGGGAGGCAGCAGUGGGGAAUAUUGGACAAUGGGCGCAAGCCUGAUCCAGCCAUACCGCGUGGGUGAAGAAGGCCUUCGGGUUGUAAAGCCCUUUUGUUGGGAAAGAAAAGCAGCAGGUUAAUACCCCGCUGUUUUGACGGUACCCAAAGAAUAAGCACCGGCUAACUUCGUG